rnacentral:tRNA from 1 species
UGGCUCUUCAGAAGCUUGCUUCUAUCGAGCUGUUUUAGAAACAUCAGGGGCCAACAGAUCGCCAGAUCGUUGAGCUCCAUUGGCGGGAUUUCGCCGUCUACGUUUCUCUUUCUUCGCGGACGAACACGCGCUGGGCCUGCUGCGCAGGAUCCCAUGGUCCUUAACGGGAUAGGCGUUAGGGGCUUGUAGCUCAGUUGGUUAGAGCGCGCGCUUGAUAAGCGUGAGGUCGGAAGUUCAAGUCUUCCCAGGCCCACCACACUCAUCGAGUGAGCAUUCGUCUUCUGGUUACGGGGCCAUAGCUCAGCUGGGAGAGCGCGUGCUUUGCAAGCAUGAGGUCGUCGGUUCGAUCCCGUCUGGCUCCACCAGAUGGUUUGAUCACCGAGGUCAUGUACCGUCGUCCGCGAAACAUCACUUCGCAUCCUGCUAGUCUGGAUAGACAGCAAGUUGCGUGUUUUCUGACAUCGUAAAGAGGAGAUCGAUCCGAGUUGGGUCGUGUAGCAGAUUGCUGCGCGAAUCCUUCAUUAUCUCCGGAUCAUUUUCGGCGCUCGACGCUGACCGCAAGGUUGGCUCUCGAGUUGUGAAAUGAUCCUUUUAGCGAAGCUUGACCGCCUCGCUAUCGGAACGAUCUUACGAAGCAAGCUGGUCUUUCUAAUCAUUGUCCGGCUGUACGUAGCGUUCAUCGAGGGCGCGCGCCGAAAGGCAAUCGUACAGACAACAUUCUGCCGAGUGUGUGGACAUUGAUAAUGAGAGC